rnacentral:rRNA from 1 species
GACGAACGCUGGCGGCGUGCUUAACACAUGCAAGUCGAAAGAAGUGGCGAACGGGUGAGUAACGAGUAAUCAACCUGCCCUUCAGAGGGGGACAACAGUUGGGAACGACUGCUAAUACCGCAUAAUGAAGAAGGGGAUUUAGUCUGAGUAGGUAGUUGGAGGGGUAACGGCCCACCAAGGCGAUGAUAAGUAGCCGGGCUUGGAGGAUGAACGGCCACAUUGGGACUGAGACACGGCCCAGACUCCGACGGGAGGCAGCAGUGGGGAAUCUUCCGCAAUGGACGAAAGUCUGACGGAGCAACGCCGCGUGAGUGAUGACGGCCUUCGGGUUGUAAAGCUCUGUUAAUCGGGACGCGGUACCGGAAUAGAAAGCCACGGCUAACUACGUGCCAGCCGCCGCGGUAAUAC